rnacentral:lncRNA from 1 species
UCGGUUUUAGCACUCGGCAAAGUUUUUGCCGAGUGCCCAAAGAAACUUUUGCUGGCACUGUGUACGCCGUGUAACACUUGGCAAAGGCUUUGCCGAGUAUUUUUUGAGCUUCGCCGUGUGCCGACACACGGCAAACUUGGACAUUCCGGUAGUGAGACCAGUAAGAGAACGCCCAAUAACUUAUUAGGUGCUGUAAGAGUAAAUAUAGUGGGCCCCAUCCCCA